UUGUAUACUAUGUAUUUUUUAUUAGCUAAGCAAUAAGUGGUAAAUGCAAUUUUUGUAUAUAUGGGCUCUCUCUCCCACUUCGCAGGGCAAACAGAGAACUAACUUGUUCUUGACAAAGAUAUUAUAAAUAUACUCUGACAGAAAAAGUUCCUGCUUCCGAGCCGGCCUGUCAGAGUAGAGACUGGGCGUGGUUUAGACUCACCCAGCCUAUCGUUGAUUGUUGUCGUACGAGCUGGUGCCAGCCCCCGGGCACUCCAGUUGAUAGAUGUAACUUGCUCUGUCGAGUAUCUAUGCGCUCAUUCCCUAGAUACCGUUAUCACAUAUCUGGUUUCUGUUAUUGUUAAGUUUGAGUUCUAACAAAACAGUCUGUGGUUUGCUACACUACGUUCUGUACGUGUCCGUUUUUAUGUUAUUCUGUAUUUUUCCAUCAUGAGAAAGGCGCAUGGCCCUGAAACUGUUAACAAUGUUUCAAGUCAGCUAUGUUGCAUAACACAUACAUACAUCCACACAAGCCAACAGCAGAUAAUAUUCAAUCACGUAUAUGGUAACGGGCUAUAGUGCAUAACACAGAAUCCUCAUACUAGCAACUUCUAAACAAUUACUAUAAGUGAGUACUAUUUUAUUGGUAAUGUUAAUUAUAACACAUUAAAUGCUAAGCCAAUUAUAUUAUAUGACUGUUGCCUCCCGUUUAAGUUCAUUGUGAUGGAGGUCACUAGCUACAGUUGUGUAUUCAACCUAGCUUUUAGCUAGCUAACUUUAGCUAGGUUGAUGUGAGAAAAAAAGUAACUAAACAAAACAUGUUUUAUUAUCACCUGAAACAAUAUAUUUAUCCUGUCUUGAAUGAAAAGGUCAUAUUUUGAAAACUCCCAAAAUAAAAGUGAUCUCUAAUGAGACAGAUUCUCCUCAAUCUUGCAUUACAAACACUAACGUUACACUUGUCUAUUCAGUAUGGAACACCGUUUGGAUCUUUGCGUGUCUAAAAGAUACACGUCAAAUAACACUAGUUGACACGUCAAAUAAUCUUCUUUACCAAUCAGGACCUGAAUAUGACUCCACGUCACAUAAUAAUUUAACACGUUCAUUAAUUUUGUACGUAGGAAUAAUUACCUGCUUAAUAUUAAUAUUAAUGAGGUUAGUUACAACUGAGGUUGGAUUGAAAACCUACAGGAAGGUAGCUCUCCAGGAACAGGGUUGGAGAGCCUAGGACUAAUGGAUCUAGUUCUUAGAUCAAUGCAUUUGAAAUUUGAUAAGUCACUACGAAGGUGCGGUUCCCAGAAGUGGAGCUGUCACUUAAUACAGUGGAUGGGAAGCCUUAUUUCAUGUAGUUCUAAUUAAAUUAUCAUGGCUGAACUUAAUUUGUUCUUAAUGUAGGACAUCAAAUGAUCAGAUUUGGAUGAGUUGAUUGCAAUGUGGCAGCAGUACUUCAGUAAAUAUCAGCAACGGAUAUUGGUUAUCAGUGAAUUGUCGGUAAAGUGUUUCUAAAAAAACUAAACCUUAACACCAAGACAAGCAAUAUGGAUUGUAUAAUUUAAUUUGAAUGAUCAUUAAGUGAACAAUAACAACCAAUAUGGAAAUACAGUGCAUUUGGAAAGUAUUCAGACCCCUUGACUUUUUCCAUAUUUUGUUACAUUAGAGCCUUAUUCUAAAAUGUAUUAAAUAAAUAAAAAUGUAGCAUCAUACCCAAGAAGACUCUAUGGUCUCAUCGCUGCCAAAUUGUGUUCAAUUCAAUUUACUCUCUCAUUUAAAAAAAUCAAAUUAACUAACCAUAGCAGUAUACACAUGUAAUGAAUUUCUGUUAGAAUGAACAUUAAUCUAUUCUUUGUGGGUUUAAAUUACAAACGGUUCUAUAUUUUAUCUAAGCAAAUAAAACACCCCAAUCCAUCCAUUCUGUCUGAGAUCCAAAACAAUCCAUUCACACAGGCCCCUAAAACCCUCAAACUUUUACAGAUGCGCAAUUGAGCACAACCUGUCGGGCUGUAUCACUGCCUGGUACGGCAACUGCACCACCCGCAACCGCAGGGCUUUCCAGAGGGUGGUGCAGUCUGCCCAAUGCAUCACUGGGGGCAAACUACCCUGCCCUACAGGACACCUACAGCACCCAAUGUCACAGGAAGGACAAAAAGAUAAUCAAGGACAUCAACAACCCGAGCCACAGCUUGUUCACCCCGUUAUCAUCCAGAAGGCGAGGUCAGUACAGGUGCAUCAAAGCUGGGACCGAGAGACUGAAAAACAGCUUCUAUCUCAAGGCCAUCGGGCUGUUAAAUAAGCCACCAGAUCUAAUGUGUUAUAUUCUCCUACUACAUUAAUUUAACAUUUCCACAAACUUAAAAGUGUUUUAUUUCAAAUGGUAUCAAGAAUACAAUCCUUGCUUCAGGUCCUGAGCUACAGGCAGUUAGAUUUGGGUAUGUCAUUUUAAAUGAAAAUUGGAAAAAAAGGAGCGGAUCACUAGUCACUUUAAUAAUGUUUACAUACUGCUUUAUGAGAUGAGUAAAGCAGUAUAUAAACAGUAGUUUACACAGGCAAUAACAUCUGCUAAAUAUGUGUAUGUGACCAAUAACAUUUGAUAAACAGUCGCUUAGGGCCUGACCCCAAAAAAUCUAUAAAAAAAUAGAAACUCAGUCUCAACUUACUGUUGAGAGUUAAAAUAGUAGAAUUACACAAGAUCUUUGUCAGUCACUGACAGUCACUCAAUUAGCCAUGUCAGCUAACAAGUUUCAAAUAUUUGCCAGCAAACAAAUGGAAAAAUAUACAAAUAUUUACAUACUUGUAAAUGUUACUUGGACUACAAGACAAAUACAUAUUCUAUAUACUUACCAACUUCACAGCCAAUGUCUGCAAAAAAACAUCUUUGUAAUAUUGUUUUAAAUUUGUAUAACAGGUUAUUUACAAUAACAUAUAAUAUACAACAAGAUGCAAUGUAGUAAAAUACCUACCAUCUUGAGGUGGGGAGCCGGCCAAGCAGUGGAAGGGGUGGGGAAAACAGACAAAACAGAUAACAGACGAUAGACACGAUGAACAGACAAAUUCAUGCACAUUGACAACAUGAGACAAACAAGACACAUGAAAAUGCUUGCCGCAUCUCCUGCACCGGGCCACCUUCUUACCUUUUCUCACGUAUUUCUGACAGAAGCAGUGGACGCUGACCUCUGUGUAGAGUGUGGACACCUUCGAAGGCCUGGACCCAGGACGAGGACUGGAAAUGGUGCCAGGUUCCCAGCAUGAAAACAAGAAUAAAAUAUGUUUUCUCAUGGAUUUCUGAUGGUAUUGUGUCAUGGAGGGUUCCUCAUCUCUGCAGAGAGUAAGACUGUUUGCAAUAGCAAGAAAAUCACACAUCAGUAAAUAAACUUGGCUAUUUAUAUAGUUGGUGACAGAAUAUAGCCUGUAAUGUUAUUACCUUGUUCCAGAGUUCUAGGUCACUCAAGAUGACUUCAGGGAACAACACCCUCUUCGAAGAAGUAGGUGAAGAUCUCCCACACACGGACUGCCUCUCUUGCUGUGUUGUUGGACCACAUCCUUUUAACAUCCUGCAGAGCAGCAGAUCCUCAUGAAGUUAUGCAGGACACAGGUAGCCUUCACAUGCCUGAAUUCCUCCAGGAGGCAGUCCCUGAUGGCCCUGGUCGCACAACCUUGUAGUGCCCUACAUGUUAACUGUAAGCAGGAAUCUCCAAUCGACCCUGCCGCACGAGCAUGCUUUUGCGGCACAGUCGAUAGUGCGCCGGACCUCGGUCUAGAAGGUCGAGGGUUCGAGACCUGCUCCCUGCCUGUUUCAUUACACUGGUGUCAGAAGUGGUCGGACCUUGCAUCCACGACAGUGCGUGUGCUUGGCCGGUGAGCGCGUCGCAAGCUAGCACGAGGAUGCGCUCUUUGAAAGGAGGGAGUAGUGUAACGACCCUGGGUUUAUAAGCACGGAAAUCGACCCUGCCGCACGAGCAUGCUUUUGCUGCACAGUCGAUAGCGUAACUACUGUUGGCUAGAUAGCUAACUACUGUUGGCUGAAUAGCUAACUACUGUUGGCUAGAUAGCUAACUACUGUUGGCUAGAUAGCUAACUACUGUUAGCAACGUUAGCAGAUUGUUUGAGUUAGCCUGCACUGUAGCUAGUUAGCUAAUAAAACAGCGUGCGUUUUUUUUUUUACAUUUUAGAAAUGUAUUUACUUAUUUGAAUAAGUUCUCCGAGCCAUGUGGACGAUUGGAAACGGGGCAGCAAAGUUUCUUUGUCGCCAGCGAGUUUUAGAGCAUAUUACUAUAUAACUAUUUACCCUUUUCAUAACCAGGCCUCCAUACCAGACUUGCUAUGCUCAAUUCUUGACGCACAACUGAAGGUGUUGCUAUAUGCUCCCAUAUGAGGCCAGCAUGCCCACAAGCGAGCCACUCUGGCCGGCCUAAGCGGCAAUUUACCGCUUGCUACUGAGCAAGCGCUUCUGAGGUGAAAAAUAACUUCCUGCGUCCUCCUACCUCUACAAGGUAGCCGAGCAACCAGCAUAGUAACGGACGCGUUGGUUCAUUAAGUAAACAGAUCAUAAUGUUGCAAGUUCUAGCAACACCCCUAGCAACAGAAAUUGGGACUCAUGUAAUCCCAUUGUGACGUGGAGGGGGACAUUAUUUGUCAUGACAGGCCCCCAAAAGGCUAGGACCUGCCCUAUAUUCACAAGUACACCUUGUCCCAUAUAUUAUCAGCACAUUUAUAGGCAUUAAAACAAGUGCUACAAUAACAAAUCACAGACAUUCAGCCUAUUUCGGAGAGAAAAUGAAUCUACAGUGGUAGUAGUAGGACUAGUUUGCUUUGAAAUCUGUAAUUCUGAAAGCAUUCAUCCAAUGAAGAAGGAAAGCCAAAGUAAAUGCAGACAUACCCUACAUAGCUCAACUCAUCUCAGAAUCAAACCUCCGAUUAGUGACAAACGUUAAAACUGUAGUAUCUGGGAUCUACAUCUGUUUAUAUUAGUUACUGUGCUGUUACUAAGCAGUAAUGCAUUACGGCAGUGUUACGUUACUACACCUAAUAGGAAAUACACAUGCGCACUGGGGUGCCGCGAACUGUAGAGCACGAGGGUUUUUUGACUAAACGAAAACUAACUGUACUCCCG
ensembl:lncRNA